rnacentral:lncRNA from 1 species
GGUCUGAUAAAUAUUAUUUUAGGGAUAUUUCUUCUAUCUUUCUGAUGGACAUGAGAUGUUCAUGAAUCUUAAGGCAUUCUUUUUGAAAAAAAAAAUUUUUGAUGAAGAAACUGAUGCCGUUAAGACCAAACAUGGUGAAACUUGAUAGGUAGAGGAACUGACUUUAAUACAAACCAACAGAACCAGAGUUGAUUAAAUCAAAUUUGAAGCUCGAUGUAAAGGCAUCCUUGAGUAGAUAUGGUAAAGUACCAUAUCAGUCGAAUAGAUACUUCGAUUUCUAAGUUCAAAAUAGAGAUUUGAUUUUCUAUAUGGAUGCAAUACAGAGAUUUAAUUUUGAGAAGUGGCUUGGAGCCAUUAAAUCUAAAAUGAAGUCUAUGA